rnacentral:rRNA from 1 species
AUUGAACGCUGGCGGCAGGCUUAACACAUGCAAGUCGAGCGGGGGAAGGCAGCUUGCUACCGGACCUAGCCGCGGACGGGUGAGUAAUGCCUAGGAAUCUGCCUGGUAGUGGGGGACAACGUUUCGAAAGGAACGCUAAUACCGCAUACGUCCUACGGGAGAAAGCAGGGGACCUUCGGGCCUUGCGCUAUCAGAUGAGCCUAGGUCGGAUUAGCUAGUUGGUGGGGUAAUGGCUCACCAAGGCGACGAUCCGUAACUGGUCUGAGAGGAUGAUCAGUCACACUGGAACUGAGACACGGUCCAGACUCCUACGGGAGGCAGCAGUGGGGAAUAUUGGACAAUGGGCGAAAGCCUGAUCCAGCCAUGCCGCGUGUGUGAAGAAGGUCUUCGGAUUGUAAAGCACUUUAAGUUGGGAGGAAGGGCAGUAAGUUAAUACCUUGCUGUUUUGACGUUACCGGCAGAAUAAGCACCGGCUAACUCUGUGCCAGCAGCCGCGGUAA